rnacentral:rRNA from 1 species
GACGAACGCUGGCGGCGUGCCUAAUACAUGCAAGUAGAACGCUGAAGAGAGGAGCUUGCUCUUCUUGGAUGAGUUGCGAACGGGUGAGUAACGCGUAGGUAACCUGCCUUGUAGCGGGGGAUAACUAUUGGAAACGAUAGCUAAUACCGCAUAACAAUGGAUGACACAUGUCAUUUAUUUGAAGGGGGCAAUUGCUCCACUACAAGAUGGACCUGCGUUGUAUUAGCUAGUAGGUGAGGUAAUGGCUCACCUAGGCGACGAUACAUAGCCGACCUGAGAGGGUGAUCGGCCACACUGGGACUGAGACACGGCCCAGACUCCUACGGGAGGCAGCAGUAGGGAAUCUUCGGCAAUGGGGGCAACCCUGACCGAGCAACGCCGCGUGAGUGAAGAAGGUUUUCGGAUCGUAAAGCUCUGUUGUAAGUCAAGAACAGGUGUGAGAGUGGAAAGUUCACACUGUGACGGUAGCUUACCAGAAAGGGACGGCUAACUACGUG